rnacentral:rRNA from 1 species
AACGAACGCUGGCGGCAUGCCUAACACAUGCAAGUCAAACGAGAUCUUCGGGUCUAGUGGCGCACGGGUGCGUAACGCGUGGGAAUCCGCCCUUUGGUUCGGAAUAACAGUUGGAAACGACUGCUAAUACCGGAUGAUGACGAAAGUCCAAAGAUUUAUCGCCAGAGGAUGAGCCCGCGUAGGAUUAGCUAGUUGGUGUGGUAAAGGCGCACCAAGGCGACGAUCCUUAGCUGGUCUGAGAGGAUGAUCAGCCACACUGGGACUGAGACACGGCCCAGACUCCUACGGGAGGCAGCAGUGGGGAAUAUUGGACAAUGGGCGAAAGCCUGAUCCAGCAAUGCCGCGUGAGUGAUGAAGGCCUUAGGGUUGUAGAGCUCUUUUACCAGGGAUGAUAAUGACAGUACCUGGAGAAUAAGCUCCGGCUAACUCCGUGCCAGCCGCCGCCGUAA